UACGAAGGGUGCUAGCGUUGUUCGGAAUUACUGGGCGUAAAGCGCGCGUAGGCGGCUUAGUAAGUUGGAAGUGAAAUCCCGGAGCUUAACUCCGGAAUUGCUUUCAAAACUGCCGAGCUAGAGUAUGGUAGGGGACAGUGGAAUUCCUAGUGUAGGGGUGAAAUCCGUAGAUAUUAGGAGGAACACCAGAGGCGAAAGCGACUGUCUGGGCCAUUACUGACGCUGAGGCGCGAAAGCGUGGGGAGCGAACAGG
rnacentral:rRNA from 1 species